UACGAAGGGGGCUAGCGUUGCUCGGAAUCACUGGGCGUAAAGGGUGCGUAGGCGGGUCUUUAAGUCAGGGGUGAAAUCCUGGAGCUCAACUCCAGAACUGCCUUUGAUACUGAAGAUCUUGAGUUCGGGAGAGGUGAGUGGAACUGCGAGUGUAGAGGUGAAAUUCGUAGAUAUUCGCAAGAACACCAGUGGCGAAGGCGGCUCACUGGCCCGAUACUGACGCUGAUGCACGAAAGCCAGGGGAGCAAACGGG
rnacentral:rRNA from 1 species